UACGUAGGAUGCAAGCGUUGUCCGGAAUUAUUGGGCGUAAAGAGCGCGCAGGCGGUCUAUCAAGUCAGAUGUGAAAUAUCCAGGCUUAACCUGGAGGGGUCAUUUGAAACUGGUAGACUAGAGUACAGCAGAGGAUAGUGGAAUUCCCGGUGUAGUGGUGAAAUGCGUAGAUAUCGUGAGGAAGACCAGUGGCGAAGGCGGGUUUCUGGAGAGUUCCUGACGCUGAGGCACGAAGGCCAGGGGAGCAAACGGG
rnacentral:rRNA from 1 species